CAGCCGCCGCGGGAAUACGAAGGGUGCAAGCGUUAAUCGGAAUUACUGGGCGUAAAGCGUGCGUAGGCGGUGAGUUAAGUCUGCUGUGAAAUCCCCGGGCUCAACCUGGGAAUGGCAGUGGAUACUGGCUCGCUAGAGUGUGUCAGAGGAUGGUGGAAUUCCCGGUGUAGCGGUGAAAUGCGUAGAGAUCGGGAGGAACAUCAGUGGCGAAGGCGGCCAUCUGGGACAACACUGACGCUGAGGCACGAAAGCGUGGGGAGCAAACAGGAUUAGAUACCCAGUAGUCCCUGUCUCUUAUACA
rnacentral:rRNA from 1 species